ACUGCUCAGUAACACGUGGCUAAUCUGCCCUUGGGACGAGAACAACCCCGGGAAACUGGGGCUAAUUCUCGAUAGGUGAAGAACACUGGAAUGUGUCUUCACUUAAAAAGUUCAAGGUUAUGCUCUUUGAAUCGCCCAAGGAUGAGGCCGCGACCGAUCAGGUUGUUGGUGAGGUAAUGGCUCACCAAGCCUUUUACCGGUGCGGGCCGUGAGAGCGGGAGCCCGGAGAUGGGCACUGAGACAAGGGCCCAGGCCCUACGGGGCGCAGCAGUCGCGAAAACUUUGCAAUAAGCGAAAGCUUGACAGGGCUAUCCCGAGUGCCAUCCGCUGAGGAAGGCUUUUACCCAGUCUAGAACGCUGGGGGAAUAAGGAGAGGGCAAGUCUGGUGUCAGCCGCCGCGGUAAUACCAGCUCUUCGAGUGGUGUGGACGUUUAUUGGGCCUAAAGCAUCCGUAGCUGGCUAAGUUAGUCCCUUGUUAAAUCCACCGAAUUAAUCGUUGGAUUGCGAGGGAUACUGCUUGGCUAGGGGACGAGAGAGGCAGACGGUAUUUUCGGGGUAGGGGUGAAAUCCUAUAAUCCCGGGAAGACCACCAGUGGCGAAGGCUGUCUGCUAGAACGCGCCCGACGGUGAGGGAUGAAAGCUGGGGGAGCGAACCGGAUUAGAUACCCGGGUAGUCCCAGCUGUAAACGAUGCAGGCUAGGUGUUUGGACGGCCACGUGCCGUUCUAGUGCCGCAGGGAAGCUGUUAAGCCUGCCGCCUGGGGAGUACGAUCGCAAGAUUGAAACUUAAAGGAAUUGGCGGGGGAGCAC
rnacentral:rRNA from 1 species